rnacentral:rRNA from 1 species
UGUAAGCGUAUACCAAAGUUGUUGCAGUUAAAACGCUCGUAGUCGGAAUUUGGCAGUUCCGGAUGUGUGCACGUCGUGUGCGCACUUCGCGGGGAUUGCUUUUGUGGUCUUGCGUAGGAUGAGGCACUUUUAUUAGUGAACGUCCUCACGCAACCACUUUUUACUGUGAGAAAAUCAGAGUGCUCAAAGCAGGCAUUUGCCGUGAAUGUAUUAGCAUGGAAUAAUAGAUUAGGACUUGGUUCUAUUUUGUUGGUUUGUUGGGACUGAGUAAUGAUUAAGAGGGACAGUUGGGGGCAUUUGUAUUUCGGUGCUAGAGGUGAAAUUCUUAGAUUACCGAAAGACAAACUGCUGCGAAAGCGUCUGCCAAGGAUGUUUUCAUUGA